AAAGAAUAUUGAAGCUCCGUUAGCGUGUAG
rnacentral:piRNA from 1 species